GGCUCCGUGGCUUAAUGGUUACAGCUUCUGUCUCAUAAGCAGAAGGUGCAGGGAUCAAAUCCCGACCGGUACUU
rfam:Culex pipiens quinquefasciatus supercont3.147 genomic scaffold, whole genome shotgun sequence.